rnacentral:rRNA from 1 species
AACCUCCGCAAUGUGAGAAAUCGCGACGGGGGGAUCCCAAGUGCCAUUCUUAACGGGAUGGCUUUUCAUUAGUGUAAAGAGCUUUUGGAAUAAGGGCUGGGCAAGACCGGUGCCAGCCGCCGCGGUAACACCGGCAGCUCUAGUGGUAGCAGUUUUUAUUGGGCCUAAAGCGUCCGUAGCCGGUUUAAUAAGUCUCUGGUGAAAUCCUGUAGCUUAACUGUGGGAAUUGCUGGAGAUACUAUUAGACUUGAGACCGGGAGAGGUUAGAGGUACUCCCAGGGUAGAGGUGAAAUUCUGUAAUCCUGGGAGGACCGCCUGUUGCGAAGGCGUCUAACUGGAACGGUUCUGACGGUGAGGGACGAAAGUUAGGGCGCGAACCGGAUUAGAUACCCGGGUAGUCCUAACUGUAAACGAUGCGGACUUGGUGUUGGGGUGGCUUUGAGCUGUUCCAGUGCCGAAGGGAAGCUGUUAAGUCCGCCGCCUGGGAAGUACGGUCGCAAGACUGAAACUUAAAGGAAUU